rnacentral:misc_RNA from 1 species
CCGAGUUGACUACUCACCCAAACCCCUGUGAACAUACCUCUUGUUGCUUCGGCGGAUCACCCUCGCGGGCCCGUCCGAGGACCCCAAACCUCUUGUUUGUUAACCGCGAAUCGAACCCUCUGAGUGGAUUUUUUCCUCGAAGAAAAUCAAACGUUA